rnacentral:lncRNA from 1 species
AUUAGGUGGCCCUAGAGACACACAACCGCGUGUUUGAAUGACCCUGAUUCAGUGUGACCUGCUCCUUUUAAGUUGGGCUCAAAACGCAUCAAGGUUUGGACGCUUUAAGCUUCAUUCAUUCUUUUUAAAUCAACAGAGGACUAUUUUAAUUAGGACAGAUUUAUUUUUGACGCAAAAAUAACGUUGAUUGGACUUGUCGGCUACCUGAUGAUUAGUUGGCCACCGUCACGUGCUUGGCGCUACCUUACUUUUUCUUGAAUGGGUCACGUCAGCGGCGCGCGCCUGGGAGCGCACUCUCUCCCGGAUCUGGUCACAGACGCGCUCUGGCUCUGCGAGGAGCAAGGCGAGCCGUGCUGCCACAUAGGAUCUCCUUUGAUUUGGAUUUUACGCAAUGAAGUCAUUCAUUGUAUACGAUGACUGGAUUUAUGAUCAAAUUCUCAAGUUAAAGCCACGGGCGGCUACGACUUUUAAGAGGAUUCCUGGAAUUAUCAUGUCCAGCCACAACAACAUGGAAUGUCCUGGGAAUGAAGUGAAAUAAAAUUCUCAAAGUCAGGGGCUGAACGUUGAGCCUCACGUCUCAGCUGUGAUCAUGUUUUAAAAGACACAAAGAUGGAGAGUGACCAGGCAGAGACGACAGGAGCGAUUGUCCUGGCGCUGCCUCUCUGAUGUGAUGUAGCCCCUUGUAACC